rnacentral:rRNA from 1 species
GAUGAACGCUGGCGCCGUGCCUAAUACAUGCAAGUCGAGCGAACAGACGAGGAGCUUGCUCCUCUGACGUUAGCGGCGGACGGGUGAGUAACACGUGGAUAACCUACCUAUAAGACUGGGAUAACUUCGGGAAACCGGAGCUAAUACCGGAUAAUAUAUUGAACCGCAUGGUUCAAUAGUGAAAGACGGUUUUGCUGUCACUUAUAGAUGGAUCCGCACCGCAUUAGCUAGUUGGUAAGGUAACGGCUUACCAAGGCGACGAUGCGUAGCCGACCUGAGAGGGUGAUCGGCCACACUGGAACUGAGACACGGUCCAGACUCCUACGGGAGGCAGCAGUAGGGAAUCUUCCGCAAUGGGCGAAAGCCUGACGGAGCAACGCCGCGUGAGUGAUGAAGGUCUUCGGAUCGUAAAACUCUGUUAUUAGGGAAGAACAAAUGUGUAAGUAACUAUGCACGUCUUGACGGUACCUAAUCAGAAAGCCACGGCUAACUACGUG